rnacentral:rRNA from 1 species
GAUGAACGCUGGCGGCGUGCCUAACACAUGCAAGUCGAACGUGAGGGUAUACUUGUAUACCUGAAAGUGGCGAACGGGUGAGUAAAACGUGGGUGACCUGCCUCGCAGUGGGGGAUAACCAUUGGAAACGGUGGCUAAUACCGCAUGGGUCUAGACAAGUGGGAACUUGAGUAGAUAAAGCUUAAUGUGCUGCGAGAGGGGCCUGCGUCCGAUUAGCUAGUUGGUAGGGUAACGGCCUACCAAGGCAGUGAUCGGUAGCUGGUCUGAGAGGAUGAUCAGCCACACGGGAACUGAGAGACGGUCCCGACUCCUACGGGGGGCAGCAGUGAGGAAUAUUGGACAAUGGGGGAAACCCUGAUCCAGCAACGCCGCGUGGAGGAUGAAGGUCUUUUGGAUUGUAAACUCCUUUUCUUGGGGAAGAGCAAGGACGGUACCCGAGGAAUAAGUCACGGCUAACCUACGUGCCAGCAGCCGCGGUAAAACUGUAGUCGU